rnacentral:rRNA from 1 species
CGUGCUGUUGCGCCUUUAUCACAGGCUGCACGCCCCGUCCGAUACAUUUACACCUGUGCACCUUUGACCCGCAUAUAGUCGGGUCCUUACACACACACUUUAAAAUCUUAGAAUGUUUAUUAUACAAAUUAUGACAACUUUCAACAACGGAUCUCUUGGCUCUCGCAUCGAUGAAGAACGCAGCGAAAUGCGAUAAGUAAUGUGAAUUGCAGAAUUCAGUGAAUCAUCGAAUCUUUGAACGCACCUUGCGCCCUUUGGUAAUCCGAGGGGCAUGCCUGUUUGAGUGUCUUGAAGCUCUCAAAACGUAUGCUUAAUUGUCACACGUUUUGGAUUUGGGUUUUUGCCGGUCGCAAGAUCGGCUCACCCUAAACGCAUUAGCUGGCUUUUGGGUCCGCGAACUCGGUGUGAUAAUUGUCACUCGCCGGGUUGGCAGGCUUGUUAUGGAAGCCGCUUACAGUCGUCUUCUCGGAGACAAUACAUCUAAGUGUUUGACCUCAAAUCAGGUAGGACUACCCGCUGAACUUAAGCAUAUCAAUAAGCGGAGGAAAAGAAACUAACAAGGAUUCCCCUAGUAACGGCGAGUGAAGCGGGAAAAGCUCAAAUUUGUAAUCUGGCGGUCUCUGGCCGUCCGAGUUGUAUUCUAUAGAAGCGUUAUCCGUGCCGGACCGUGUACAAGUCUC